rnacentral:rRNA from 1 species
CUGCCGGAGGCCAUUGCUAUUGGGAUUCGAUUUAGCCAUGCUAGUCGUACGAGUUCAUACUCGUGGCGAAUAGCUCAGUAACACGUGGCCAAACUACCCUUCGGAGCACGAUACCCUCGGGAAACUGAGGCUAAUAGUGCAUACCGCAUCACACCUGGAAUGAGUGAUGCGCCAAACGCUCCGGCGCCGAAGGAUGUGGCUGCGGCCGAUUAGGUAGACGGUGGGGUAACGGCCCACCGUGCCAAUAAUCGGUACGGGUCAUGAGAGUGAGAACCCGGAGACGGAAUCUGAGACAAGAUUCCGGGCCCUACGGGGCGCAGCAGGCGCGAAACCUUUACACUGCACGACAGUGCGAUAAGGGAAUCCCAAGUGCGUAGGCAUAGAGCCUACGCUUUUGUCCACCGUAGGGAGGUGGACGAAUAAGGGCUGGGCAAGACCGGUGCCAGCCGCCGCGGUAAUACCGGCAGCCCGAGUGAUGGCCGAUCUUAUUGGGCCUAAAGCGUCCGUAGCUGGCCGCACAAGUCCAUCGGAAAAUCCACCCGCCCAACGGGUGGGCGUCCGGUGGAAACUGUGUGGCUUGGGACCGGAAGGCGCGACGGGUACGUCCGGGGUAGGAGUGAAAUCCUGUAAUCCUGGACGGACCGCCGAUGGCGAAAGCACGUCGCGAGAACGGAUCCGACAGUGAGGGACGAAAGCUAGGGUCUCGAACCGGAUUAGAUACCCGGGUAGUCCUAGCCGUAAACAAUGCCUGCUAGGUGUGGCUCCCACUACGAGUGGGUGCUGUGCCGUAGGGAAGCCGCUAAGCAGGCCGCCUGGGAA